GCCGGCUUGGUGGAAUUGGUAGACACGCAGGAUUUAGGUUCCUGUGCCGAAAGGUGUGUGGGUUCGAGUCCCAUGGCCGGCA
rnacentral:tRNA from 1 species